CCUACGGGGGGCAGCAGUGGGGAAUAUUGGACAAUGGGGGCAACCCUGAUCCAGUCAUGCCGCGUGUGUGAAGAAGGCCCUCGGGUUGUAAAGCACUUUCAGUGAGGAAGAACGCCUGGUGGUUAAUACCCAUCAGGAAAGACAUCACUCACAGAAGAAGCACCGGCUAACUCCGUGCCAGCAGCCGCGGUAAUACGGAGGGUGCGAGCGUUAAUCGGAAUUACUGGGCGUAAAGCGCGCGUAGGUGGCUUGAUAAGCCGGUUGUGAAAGCCCCGGGCUCAACCUGGGAACGGCAUCCGGAACUGUCAAGCUAGAGUGCAGGAGAGGAAGGUAGAAUUCCCGGUGUAGCGGUGAAAUGCGUAGAGAUCGGGAGGAAUACCAGUGGCGAAGGCGGCCUUCUGGACUGACACUGACACUGAGGUGCGAAAGCGUGGGUAGCAAACAGGAUUAGAUACCCCAGUAGUC
rnacentral:rRNA from 1 species